UGCAGUCGAGUGCGCGUGCCGUAGCAAUACGGUAUGGCGCACGGCGCACGGGUGCGUAACACGUGGGCAAUCUGCCCUCCGGUGGGGAAUAACCCCGCGAAAGCGGGGCUAAUUCCGCAUAACAUUCCCUGGACUCUGGUUCGGGGAUUCAAAGCAGCAAUGCGCCGGAGGAGGAGCCCGCGCCCGAUUAGCUAGUUGGUGAGGUGACGGCUCACCAAGGCAAUGAUCGGUAGCUGGUCUGAGAGGAUGGCCAGCCACACUGGAACUGAGACACGGUCCAGACUCCUACGGGAGGCAGCAGUGGGGAAUCUUGCGCAAUGGGCGAAAGCCUGACGCAGCGACGCCGCGUGGGGGAUGAAGCUUCUCGGAGUGUAAACCCCUUUCGACCGGGACGAAUGCCCGCAAGGGAGUGACGGUACCGGUAGAAGAAGCCCCGGCUAACUACGUGCCAGCAGCCGCGGUAAGACGUAGGGGGCCAGCGUUGUUCGGAAUUACUGGGUGUAAAGGGUUCGUAGGCGGUGUGGCAAGUCGGGAGUGAAAUUUCUGGGCUUAACCCAGAAGCUGCUUCCGAAACUGCUGUGCUAGAGUGCGGGAGAGGCGCGUGGAAUUGCAGGUGUAGCGGUGAAAUGC
rnacentral:rRNA from 1 species